UACGGAGGGUGCAAACGUUGCUCGGAAUUAUUGGGCGUAAAGCGCACGUAGGCGGCCGACUAAGUCGGGUGUGAAAGCCCAGGGCUCAACCCUGGAAGUGCACUCGAAACUGGUCGGCUUGAAUAUGGAAGAGGGUCGCGGAAUUCCCGGUGUAGAGGUGAAAUUCGUAGAUAUCGGGAGGAACACCAGUGGCGAAGGCGGCGACCUGGGCCAAUAUUGACGCUGAGGCGCGAAAGCUAGGGUAGCAAACGGG
rnacentral:rRNA from 1 species